AAUUUAAGCAUAUCAUUAAGCGGUGGAAAAGAAACUAACAAGGAUUCCCCCAGUAACUGCGAGUGAAAAGGGAAGAGCCCAGCGCCGAAGCCGCCGUCCAUCACAGUGGGCGGAGGGCAAUGUGGCGUUAAGGAAGAGCCUUCUUGACCUGACGUUUCGUUGUUCGGACCGCGGGAGCCCGAGUCCCCCUGACCGGGGCCACUGCCCAUGGCGGGUGCAAGGCCUCUUCGGCUCCGUUCGACGGUUCGAAGGUUGCUGGCUUCCUUCCUCAGAGUCGGGUUGCUUGAGAGUGCAGCCCUAAGCGGGUGGUAAACUCCACCUAAGGCUAAAUAUCACCACGAGACCGAUAGCGAACAAGUACCGUGAGGGAAAGUUGCAAAGAACUUUGAAGAGAGAGUUCAAGAGUACGUGAAACCGCUCGGAGGCAAACGGGUGGGCCCUCGAAGGUCGAACGGGGGAAUUCAGCCUGUCGGCGAGCGCUUCCUGAUUUUGAAAGAAAAAUAGUACCGUCGAAAAGCAUUCGUGCGAAACGGAUCCGAGAAACCCAAAAAGCGGACCGGGCGGCAGGAGAGAUUUUACAAAAGCGUUCGUCGGCUCGUGCACUUUCCCCUUAGUAGGACGCCGCGACCGGUCGGGUCGAUAAAAGUUUUGCGGCCAUGAGGCGAGAACGAUCACGGAGGCAGGUGCCGUUUCCGCGGGUCUCGCGGUCAGGGGGCUUCGGCGAUUCGCGUCGUCGUCGCACCUCGCGCGUCUCCCAGGUUCGGAGUUACAGCCUCUUCUCGACCCGUGCACCGCCACCCGACCGACAAAUGGUCACGAAUCCGUAGACGCGUGCCCGCGUGUAGUCAAAUACAACGCUCGCCCUAGUCCAGGGCAGGCCGGAUGCGCGAGUAAAAGUCCCACCUCGGCCCGUUAUCAAACGCGG
rnacentral:ncRNA from 1 species